GCGAGUCUGGCCGAGUGGUUAAGGCGUUGUGUUUAGGUCAGCCUGAAUGCCUCAGGAGAACGCUUAAACCGCAAUGGGCUUUGCCCGCGUAGGUUCGAUCCCUACGGCUCGCA